AUUAAGGUGUAUAUUUUAAUAGGCCCAUUAUUAAAUAGUAGUAACAAGUGGUGGUACCACUUUUUGUGAUUUUUAAAAGUAGUAGCAUAGAAGAGAAAAAGGAACCGAGGAAGAAGAGAAAGAAAAGAGAAAAUGGGGCUAGGGUUGUGAAGAGGAGAAAAGGAAGACCUAAAGUGUCGCUCUCAAGUGACAUUUUUCUCCAAUUUUCCAUUGAAACUUCAUAGAGAUGCACUCAAUCUAAGGUACUCAAGUAUAGUUGUGGAAGUUUGUUGCUUCAUCGAGUCCUGUUGGAUUGUUGUUCUGAUACGUAGCACUCGGGGGGAUUGUUUAUAUCGCUAUUUCUAUGUUGUCGAUGUUUUUAGUUGUUGUUAUUAUAACCGUUGAAUCCAAGUUGAAUAAUAUGAAGUACUUAUUAUACUUCCAAGUUGUUUGAAUUGAGAUAAAGCUGAUAGUUGACUGGUAUUCGAAUGCUAUGUAUCAUUGUUGAAUGAAAUACAAGUUGAAGUUUUAAGUUGAUAUGUGAUACUCCAAUUUGUUGUUUGAAA